GAAGUUAAGCAACGUCGGGCGGGGUCAGUACUUGGAUGGGUGACCGUUUUUAUAGAUAAUGGUACGGAACCCUUCGUGUGCGAGUCCGACUCGCACUUGGCCGGUUUUUUUAAUAUGUAGUAGGUAUUUGUUGUUAUAGCGGCAACAGAAAUACAUAAUCUGUAAAAAUUUCAACUGUCUAUUUAGCUAUCACGGUUCAUGAGAUACAGCCUGGUGACAGACGGACGGACAGUGGACGAAGUCUUAGUAAUAGGGUCCCGUUU